AGGUGGUGCAUGGUUGUCGUCAGCUCGUGUCGUGAGAUGAUGGGUUAAGUCCCGCAACGAGCGCAACCCUCGCCUCUAGUUGCCAGCAUUCGGUUGGGCACUCUAGAGGGACUGCCGGCGACAAGUCGGAGGAAGGUGGGGAUGACGUCAAAUCAUCAUGCCCCUUAUGACCUGGGCUACACACGUGCUACAAUGGGCGGUACAAAGGGCUGCGAACCCGCGAGGGGGAGCGAAUCCCAAAAAGCCGCUCUCAGUUCGGAUUGCAGGCUGCAACUCGCCUGCAUGAAGCCGGAAUCGCUAGUAAUCGCGGAUCAGCAUGCCGCGGUGAAUACGUUCCCGGGCCUU
rnacentral:rRNA from 1 species